GAUGAACGCUGGCGGCGUGCCUAAUACAUGCAAGUCGAGCGAACAGACGAGGAGCUUGCUCCUCUGACGUUAGCGGCGGACGGGUGAGUAACACGUGGAUAACCUACCUAUAAGACUGGGAUAACUUCGGGAAACCGGAGCUACUACCGGAUAAUAUAUUGAACCGCAUGGUUCAAUAGUGAAAGACGGUUUUGCUGUCACUUAUAGAUGGAUCCGCGCCGCAUCAGCUAGUUGGUAAGGUAACGGCUUACCAAGGCAACGAUGCGUAGCCGACCUGAGAGGGUGAUCGGCCACACUGGAACUGAGACACGGUCCAGACUCCUGCGGGAGGCAGCAGUAGGGAAUCUUCCGCAAUGGGCGAAAGCCUGACGGAGCAACGCCGCGUGAGUGAUGAAGGUCUUCGGAUCGUAAAACUCUGUUAUUAGGGAAGAACAAAUGUGUAAGUAACUAUGCACGUCUUGACGGUACCUAAUCAGAAAGCCACGGCUAACUACGUG
rnacentral:rRNA from 1 species